rnacentral:rRNA from 1 species
UUUAAGGUCUAACCUGCCCAAUGAGGAUUUAAAUGGCCGCAGUAUUUUGACUGUGCAAAGGUAGCAUAAUUAUUAGUUUUUUAAUUGGAAGCUUGUAUGAAGGGUUGGACGAGAUAAAAUCUGUCUUUAUUUAAAUUACAAUAGAAGUUAACUUUUAAGUCAAAAGGCUUAAAUUUAUAUAAAAGACGAGAAGACCCUAUAGAUCUUUAUUUAGUUAUAGUUAUAAUAAUUUAGGGUUAUUUUAGUUUAUAUCUAUAAUUGAAUUUUAUUGGGGUAAUAUAAAGAUUAAUAAAAUUCUUUUUUUUAUUAACAUUGAUUUAUGAAAAUUUGAUCCAUUUAUAUUGAUUAUAAGAUUAAGUUACCUUAGGGAUAACAGCGUAAUUUUUUUGGAGAGCUCUUAUCGAUAAAAAAGUUUGCGACCUCGAUGUUGGAUUAAAAAUUAGCUUGGGUGCAGAAGCUCAAGAUUUUGGUCUGUUCGACCAUUAAAUUUUUACAUGAUCUGAGUUCAGACCGGCGUAAGCCAGGUCGGUUUCUAUCUUUAUUAUAAUAAAAUAUUUUAGUACGAAAGGACCAAAUAUUUAAUAUAUUUAUAUUUUAUUUUUGAAUAAUAUU